rnacentral:rRNA from 1 species
AGUGAACGCUGGCGGUAGGCCUAACACAUGCAAGUCGAACGGCAGCACAGUAAGAGCUUGCUCUUACGGGUGGCGAGUGGCGGACGGGUGAGGAAUACAUCGGAAUCUACUUUUUCGUGGGGGAUAACGUAGGGAAACUUACGCUAAUACCGCAUACGACCUACGGGUGAAAGCAGGGGAUCUUUGGACCUUGUGCGAUUGAAUGAGCCGAUGUCGGCUUAGCUAGUUGGCGGGGUAAAGGCCCACCAAGGCGACGAUCCGUAGCUGGUCUGAGAGGGUGAUCAGCCAGACUGGAACUGAGACACGGUACAGACUCCUACAGGGAGCAGCAGUGGGGAAUAUUGGACAAUGGAGGCAAGCCUGAUCCAGCCAUACCGGGUGGGUGAAGAAGGCCUUCGGGUUGUAAAGCCCUUUUGUUGGGAAAGAAAAGCAGCAGGUUAAUACCCCGCUGUUCUGACGGUACCCAAAGAAUAAGCACCGGCUAACUUCGUG